CAGGAAUCCUACAUGGCCACAGGUGAGGGUGUUCAGUCAGACCCCCGGGUGAGACUGUUACUUUAACUGUGACAUAGUUCUGGUAUCCAGGAGAAAUCCAGGAAGAAAAUGAAGAUGUAUGUGAGACUCAUUCGGCUUCAUACUCCAACCAAAUGUGCCACUAGGAGCAUUAAAUGGCACAAUAUAUUCUUAUUAGGGUUGAAUGUGCCACAUUUCUUGGGGACUUCCUCUGUUCUUAAUUGCAAGGCAGGCUUGUCCCCACCCCAUGGAGAAUGCUGGGAAAUGCUUCCCCAGGGGCACUCUCAGAGCCUUAGAGUUAGUGAGUGAGCAAGGAACAAAUGAGCCCCUAACUCUGGGGCAUCUGAAUGCCUUUCUUGCCAUUACUUCCUUGCCAAUUACUGCUCUGGGUUAGAGGCUAUCUGGAGGAAUUUUUCCGAAUGUGUUAGAUCUCUCCUACCCCCGUCUCUGCUUCUACCUAAAUGUGUCUCUGUCUCUAUCUACUUGGGCCUCUGUCUCUACAGCUCUACCUAUCACUGUCUGACUCUACCUCUUUCUCCAUCUUGCCCCUUCCUGUAUCACUUUACCACUCUGCCUUCAAAGAUCUUAGAGUUCUGAGUUGGUUUAAACCUUCCCUGUGAGGUUUCCUGUUCAGCUUCGCCAGUGCUCGUGGCAUGUGUUCUCUGAGCUCAGACACACUAUCUGCCUCUGUCUGUCUUUGUCUCUGUCUCUAUCUCUGUCUGUGUCUCAGCCUCUGCCUCUGCCUCUCUCUGUCACUUUUUGUCUGUGUCUCUGUCUCUCUCUCUAUCCCUCUGUUUGUUGCUAUAUAUCUCUGACUCUGUGUCUGUCUCUGUGUCUGUCUCUCUGUCUAUCUCUAUCUGUCUCUGUCUCUCUCUGUCUCUCUGUGUCUGUCUCUCAAUCUCUUGCCUGUCUCUGUCUGUCUGUGUGCGUGUGUGUGUGUGUGUGUGUCUAUCUCCCUGUCUCUCUCUGUCUCCAUCUCUCUCUCUCUCCUAGUGAAAACCUAAGGAAGCAACAAGCACAGGCCCAUCUGAUAAAUGAGAGAUGCUUGGCCUUACCCAGCACGUGUCAGUGAGGAGGCGAACUGGGCAGAGUGAAGACCAGAGGCCAUAUGAGAAGGCUGCAAAUUAGUAUACAAGUCUUCCUGCCCCACCUCACUGUGUGGGCUGAUUAGGAACCGGCUGAAGCCAUUAGCACAGAGAGGUGCUCCAGGGAAAGGUGACCUGGGGCUCAUUAUAAUACUUAAAUGCACAUCCUUAAAAUGGAGACUUAAGAUGCUUAUGGGACGCAUGAAGCAUGAAGAACUACAUGCAACAGAGUGUGCACAAGAAAGUGCACACUAUGAAAAUGACCUCAAAGCACAUGCUAUGCAAGUGAGCCAGAAAGUCCCCACUAUGUGACAUAAAGCUCUGAUCUGUGUAGUAGGUGCCAUUGAACGUUUAAAUUCUCUCCCUCUGCACUCUGCUUCCUCUGCUUCUAGCAAACCGUCCUUGCUUUCCUUACCAGCUCCUUGUUGUGGUACACAAGAACCUGGACCUCCUAGAGUGGUACCGUCUGAACCCCUAUUUCCCCAGCAGAGAACCUGACUCCUCUUUCAUGGCCCACCCACAUGAUUCCUGCUGGGGCUGGGCUGGGCUGCUUUCCCUUCAUUUGUUUCUACUCAAUUCUGGAAGCCUGAGAUGAUGUUAUUUGAUUUCAAAUCAUGUCAAUUAGCUCCUCAAACUGAGUCAGCACUUGGAUUUUAUAAAGGCUACACUCAUUGUGUGAU
rnacentral:lncRNA from 1 species